rnacentral:lncRNA from 1 species
CAACUGCAAUCAGCUUGAAAGGUUACCAACAAAAGCUGAAUCAUGCUGCUGCUUCAAUUAUUGUACAAAACAUCCAUAUUAAUUACGAUUUUACCAAAUUGCCGGUUAUUCAACAUAGAUAAUUAUCAGGCAGCAAUUGGCAACAUGCAGGAAUAGUCGGCUGGAGAGAAUUUAGCCGAGUCAUUCGGAGAAUUUGUGACGAAAUAAACAUGGCGAUUUGAUUGGCCGCGUGUGACUCAUGUGGCCCAAUCCCCGCCACAUUUUGCAGGAGUCCUGCUAGUGGAAGUGAAACGACACGAUCCACCUCCUUGGCCAAUCCUUGGAGGACGGACGGAUAUCUACGCACAAGCGAAGAGUCGCUGACAGCUUUCCUGCGAACUUUAUCCUGCCUGGACGUGUCUUGUGUUCUGUCACGGGCGCGUUUUCGACCGAUCUUAAGUCAAUUUUUCGCGAAAUUAGCGAGUUUUAUUUCGUUGCUUGUGGGCUAAUUGCGACUACAAAUCUUCCUGCAGCGGCCACUCAAAGUGACCAUUGAGUUGGGUGUUGCACAACCUCAACUCUUCCUCUGGUAGGGCCCAAAGGCUAGAAAAAUUUCCGCACCUACAAAAGGCGAAUCUAAUUCCUUCGCAAGAUGCCAUUCACCAAAUCUGUCCCUGCUCAAGCGGCAUCAUGGCGAGAAACCUCCAGCCACAACAUUCGAUCCGCAACACAGAUUUUAUUCGAUCAAUCAAACCAAUCAAUCGGCUAUGCACGAUUACGAAGAGGACUUCUGCGAUUUGGAGACGAUGAAAUUCGUGAAUCCCUACGAAAUCAAUCCGAUCGCCACUACACGCCCACAAAACACCAUUAUGGAUCAACAGAUAGGUUUUGUGGUCUACAACAAGCAGCAUCAGCGCAUCAGGUGAAAGCGUGUUUCUUGCUAUGUAUGGAUCACAUUCGAAGUGAACUAAGUAGAACUUUAAUCUAUUAUAAUGAAUAAACUUAAUAAAAAGGGCUUUACAUCACAAGAACAUCGCGGGACGGAAGCUUAAACACACUGAUAAGAAG